UUAGCUCAGUGGUAGAGCGCUUACCUAGGAAGCGCAAGGCCCUGGGUUCGGUCCCCAGCUCCAAAAAAAAGAACCAAAAAAAGAAAAAUAAACAAAAAAGUAACCGUGGGAGUCAGUUUUCUCCUUCUACCUGGAUCUGCGGAUUGAGCUCAGCUAGGUUGGGCGGCUGGCACCUUCACCCUGUGAGCCAUCUCACUGUCGAUUCAUUUCUGUUUUCAGAGAUGGGGGUCUCAUGUAGCCCAGGCUAGCCCCAAAUUCUAUGCAACUGAGGAUAACAUUGAAUUCCUCAUCCUCCUGCCUCCACUCCUCCAGCGAGUGGAUGACUAGAGUGUGCUGCCAUGUCUGGGUGGUUCUGGGAUGGAAUGCAGGAUUCCAUCUCACUGUGCAUGCUACCCUCUGAGCCUUAGCCCCAAUCCCCUCCACCUUCCUCCAGCCUCACACUUACUGCCCAGCUGGCCUACAGCAGUCAGCCUGCUCCUCUCAAAGCUACAGCCAGUGGCCAGGAAAAAGUCCUGUCUUCUACCCCGGACCUUUGCAUGUGCUGUUGAUGAGCGCAAACCAUCGCCUGUCUCCUUCCCCUUAGACCCCAUCUUAAUCUCUCUCAGGAGCCAUGUUCUCCUGGGUGAUCUGGCUUGAUCUCUGUCCAUUCACGAUUCCUCUCCUCCUCUUGUCCUCUCUCCUUUCCUCCUCUCCCCCUUACCCCUCCUUCAAUUUGUCUUCAAUCUCUUCCUUAGAGGCUUUGGCCUCUAAAGACACUGAAUCCCUGUGGAGGAUUGAAUGAGAAUGGCUCCCAUGGGCCUUUAUACUUUGUUUGGUUCCCAGUAGGUGGACCUGUUUAAGAAGGAUCAGGAGGUGGUGCGCUUGGAGGUUUCAGUAGCCAUGCCAUUUUCAACUAGCUCUCCCUGCCCCCGUGUGAGCUAUCAGCGCCGGCCUGACCAGCUGCUGCUGUGCUCCCCGACAUGGUGGCCACGGACUCACCCUCUGAAGCAGUAAGGUCCAAUAAAGUCUUCCUUCUAU
rnacentral:lncRNA from 1 species